UAUUGGUCAAUGGCCGGAAGGCUGAACCAGCCAAGUCGCGUGAGGGAAUAAGGCCCUAUGGGUCGUAAACCUCUUUUGUCAGGGAGCAAAGGCGUCCACGUGUGGACGAAAGGAGAGUACCUGAGGAGAAAGCAUCGGCUAACUCCGUGCCAGCAGCCGCGGUAAUACGGAGGAUGCGAGCGUUAUCCGGAUUUAUUGGGUUUAAAGGGUGCGUAGGCGGAGUGUCAAGUCAGCGGUAAAAUUUCGGGGCUCAACCCCGUCGUGCCGUUGAAACUGGUGUUCUUGAGUGAGCGAGAAGUAUGCGGAAUGCGUGGUGUAGCGGUGAAAUGCAUAGAUAUCACGCAGAACUCCGAUUGCGAAGGCAGCAUACCGGCGCUCAACUGACGCUCAUGCACGAAAGCGUGGGUAUCG
rnacentral:rRNA from 1 species